AGAGUUCUUCCGCGAAUUGCUCUAGGGAAAUAUUAAUCAAACUGAACGGGCUUCUUACAAACCUUGAAGAAAUUGGACUCCAAUAAGAUUCAUAAUUUCUUUGUGUCUAUAUCUCUUCUGUAACUUGAGUAAAUCUGCCCUUCCCAAUCAUGUCACAUCAAACGGUUAGACUUUGCAAACACCAAUGUGAUUGAUAUGCAGAGAUCCUGAAUAUAUUCAUCUAUAAUCUUUUCCCAAUGUUUGCAAACCUUCUCGCAACUCCAAAAAUAACAGCCUUGGUCAACAGGCCAUGGUCAAGAGUGCAUGCAAUGGCUACAGCACCACCAACUACCAGGAACUUGGGUAUGCUACUGGUCCAGUUCUUCUGUUUCUCUGCUUCUACAACAUU
rnacentral:lncRNA from 1 species